rnacentral:rRNA from 1 species
ACUCCUGCGGGAGGCAGCAGUGGGGAAUAUUGCACAAUGGGCGCAAGCCUGAUGCAGCCAUGCCGCGUGUAUGAAGAAGGCCUUCGGGUUGUAAAGUACUUUCAGCGGGGAGGAAGGCAAUACGGUUAAUAACCGUGUUGAUUGACGUUACCCGCCGAAGAAGCACCGGCUAACUCCGUGCCAGCAGCCGCGGUAAUACGGAGGGUGCAAGCGUUAAUCGGAAUUACUGGGCGUAAAGCGCACGCAGGCGGUCUGUCAAGUCGGAUGUGAAAUCCCCGGGCUCAACCUGGGAACUGCAUUCGAAACUGGCAGGCUUGAGUCUUGUAGAGGGGGGUAGAAUUCCAGGUGUAGCGGUGAAAUGCGUAGAGAUCUGGAGGAAUACCGGUGGCGAAGGCGGCCCCCUGGACAAAGACUGACGCUCAGGUGCGAAAGCGUGGGGAGCAAACAGGAUUAGAAACCCGAGUAGUCCC